CAGUCGCCGCGGGAAUACGAAGGGUGCAAGCGCUACUCGGAAUUACUGGGCGUAAAGCGUGCGUAGGUGGUGGUUUAAGUCCGUUGUGAAAGCCCUGGGCUCAACCUGGGAAUUGCAGUGGAUACUGGAUCACUAGAGUGUGGUAGAGGAUAGUGGAAUUUCCGGUGUAGCAGUGAAAUGCGUAGAGAUCGGAAGGAACAUCUGUGGCGAAGGCGACUAUCUGGGCCAACACUGACACUGAGGCACGAAAGCGUGGGGAGCAAACAGGAUUAGAUACCCGCGUAGUCCCUGUCUCUUAUAC
rnacentral:rRNA from 1 species